rnacentral:rRNA from 1 species
CCUGUUUAACAAAAACAUGUCUUUUUGAUAUUUAUUUAAAGUCGGUUUUGCUCAAUGAUUAAUUUUAAAUAGCCGCAGUAUAUUGACUGUGCAAAGGUAGCAUAAUCAUUAGUUUUUUAAUUGAAAGCUGGAAUGAACGAUUUGACGAGAGUUUUACUGUCUCAAGAAUAUUUGAUGAAUUUUAUUUUUAAGUUAAAAAGCUUAAAUUUUUUUAAAAGACGAGAAGACCCUAUAGAGUUUUAUUUUACUUUUUUUUUAAUUUUUAAUUUUAAAUAAAAAUUUAAAAUUUUGUUGGGGUGAUAGAAAAAUUUAAUUAACUUUUUUUUUAUUAUUUUACUUUAAGUAUAUAAUUGAUCCUUUUUAAGAUUAAAAGAUUAAAUUACCUUAGGGAUAACAGCGUAAUUUUUUUUAAAGUUCUAAUCGAAGAAAAAGUUUGCGACCUCGAUGUUGGAUUAA